AAAGUCGUAACAAGGUAUCCGUAGGUGAACCUGCGGAUGGAUCAUUAACACUUUCCAAAACACAACUGAGUUCUACAACGUCAUUGUUGUUAGACACUUGGUUUUCAAACCCAAAUAGCGAACUUGUCAACGGCAUAGCAUGUGUGUGUUGUUUUCAAAUAAUUUGAAAACGCCAAGUCAAGUUAUGUCCGUUCGUUUUCUCCUUGUCAAUUUUACUUUUAUCAUUCAACACUCUUUUUUUCUCUUCCUUCAUUGGGAUUGAAAAAAGCAGCGUCAAACGAAAUAACUUGACUAAGAAGAAAAAGACCCACGUUUAAUUGACUUUGCUUGAUUAAAUGAGGGGAAAAAGAUAAUAAACAAAAAAUACAACUUUUAACAACGGAUAUCUUGGCUCUC
rnacentral:misc_RNA from 1 species